GUUUCCGGGGUGACCUUCGUUUAGACGCCCAACGCCCCUGGGUUUCUUUCUGCUGCCCAGGGUAUUUGGGGGGACAAGAGGUUUUAGAGGGUCUGAGAAGACGCCAGCGAGGCAAUAGAUGGGGUUUGAAAUACAGUGAGAUCAUGAGGAGGUGAGAGGUUAUCUCAAUUCUGCUCUCUGACCCACAGCUCCCCAAGAGGCAGUUUCUCACCGAGGGGUCAGACCCGUGGCAUUUGGGCGCCUACAAUGAACCAGUGGUGGUCUGAGUAGUCUACAUUAAUUAUCUCAUUAAUCCAGGGAUCCCAUGAGCGGAAAAACUGUUUCCCCAGACUACAGAGGAAGUAAAAAAAAAAACAACUUGUCUAAGGUCACCGGUGCAGUCCGUGGCGGAGGGGAUGCGAACUUGUAGCCCUCAGACUGUAGGGCUGCCCUUCUUCCUGUGUAGUCCCUGGCUGGACCCCAGGGCGAAGAGACAAAUAGGAGUAGGGCAGAAGGUAUUCUGAGCGAUGGGGGGAAACUACAAACACAGAAAGGAAGGACUUUCAAAAUGAGGGUAGUUUUGAUGGUGGACAGAAUCCACUGGCACAUGAGGGACAGAGGCUGGCUAUGGCUGACUGAGCCCCGAAGUUGAGUGGUGCAGAGAGAGGUAAGAAAACCAGUGACCUCAACUAGCCAGUAACAGCACAUUUUGAGCCCGCGCACAGGUACCGUCAAAGUGUCCUCGUGCCGCUUCUUCUUGCCCCCAAAGGACAUGGGGACUGACGUGUAAGCAAAUUCACGUUCUGCCCAGACGUGGCGACAGAACAUCUGACAGCAUAGGGCAGACCAGCUGAAGACUGAUAAAACCCCACUCCCUUCUGAAGUGGUAGCUCCAGCUCUCUUGGGCCUUCAUCUCUGCGAGAUAACCAUCUUGACGGUCGCUAUGAGCGACUUGGCUAGGAGAGAUGAGGAUGCUUGUAGAAAAUACUACAACCCUGCUGGUAGGUGAGCCAGUCUUUCAAAUGGUAGUGCAGAAAGAUGAUGGCCUGGGCAACAGGCUGGAACCGGUGACUUCGUGUACUCGGCACUAGAGUACGACAUGAUCUAUGUCACUUGCGUUGAGUGCAUGCACAGUCGCCCUUAAUUCCUACAGGAUUCUAGGAUGCGUAAAAUAUUCUAAUCUCGUAGGGGGACACAAGCGCCACCUGCUGGUAUCUCCUCCCAAACCUCCUCUCUCACCAAACUCUUAAUCCCCUCAACUUCCCAGACUUUUAAAAACCAGACUUGAAAAUAAUAACAAUAAUAAAUAAAAGCACACUUACAUCACUUAUAAAAACUAACCUACUUUCCCCUUUCUUCACUGGUCUUCCCCUGAAAGGUGAGUGAGAAACAGAAACAGGAAACAUUUUCACUCAGUGUCUUCAGCUAAAACCAGGUGGUAAGUCUGUGUGAUCAGUAUGCAAGGUAUGGUUGAGGACACUUAGAUUGCAAAUUUAGUUCAGACCACAGAUUGUGGUGAUGCAUCAUAUAGAGCAUCAUUUUUUAAAAAAAAAAAAAAAGACCACAAAUUCUUUUUUAGAGGAAAUGAUGGAAUAGUUCAGGAUUUGCUUUUUAACAAGUGAUCAGUCUUUAUGUUAGAAUGACAUAGUCAUUAUAGUUUGCUUUUCCUUCUACAGACUACAAAGUGUAAACUCUUUGGGGGCGGGACCCAUUCAUCUUUGUAACUCCCACCCCAUAUCUAAAAGAGUACUUUGUGUAUAAGGAGCGCACAAUAAAUAUUGGUAAUUAAGCAUUGCACAAUAGGCCAAGAGCACAAUAAACCUGUCUAUUGCACAAUAGAAAGCUUGCCAUUUGUUGGUAUGUCUUUCAAAUUAUGUCCCUGAAUGAAGGAUUUUUUUCCUUAAAAUGGAGGAGAGUACUUGACCCUUAAAACGGACCUUAAUUAUUUCUAAAUACUUAAGAACUUGACAAACUAUUUUCUCUUGCUGUCUUGCUUCUCUAUUUUUUCAAAAAGAUGGGCAUCUCUGUUUUGUCACUCUUUUUACUUCUUGUGAAAACAGUACCAUCUUUCCAUUCACUCUCCCCACUCCAUACUUACAGUUCUUCGACACAGCUGGUCACCUCAGUUAGUCUAGAAGUGGACUUCUGACCAAAUGACAGAACGGCCAGAGGAUCGGAAGGUCGUGAAUAUGUUCAAACUCUAGAUUCUGACUGUUCCUGAUUUGCAUCUUUGGUUUCUAGGAGAUAUCCAGUACAUUUGUAAUACAUUCUACUAUUCACCUAAGUCAAUUUUAUUUGGUUUUCUGGUAGUGUAACCAAGAGUUCUAAUUAAUACAUUCAAUUUACCAUAUUUUAGUCUUUAUUCCCCCUUGUUUUCCUAUAUAACCUCAUUUUUGGAUGGUCUACAAAUAAUCUUUUACAAACUAUUUGGAUAAUGUCAGCCGAUUUUUUUCAUGUUUUGUCUUUAUUACCCUCCAAUCAUCUUACAAAGUUAACAGAAUUCAAAUGAUUGAGAAAAUGGAGGAAAUAGAAACAGUCUCAGAUUAAAAUAUUGGCUAUUAGGAGAAAAGUGAUCCGUUUCAUCAACAAACAAAAAAAUUUAGAACCCAUUUUUUUUUUUUAAUUCCUCUUGUGCUCAGAAAAGAUACCAGACUUUUCCAUAUUUAAGACCCAUUUUAUUCUUGCCUGGAAAAUAGAGCUGUGGACAAGCUUAUGAGAAUCAAACUUAUUAAGAAUGGCAGAUAGAUUUGAGCAGGGCUAGGGGCGCCUGGGUGGCUCAGUUGGUUGAGCGUCUGCCUUGGGCUUGGGUCAUGGUCCCAGAGUCCCGGGAUAGAGCCCUGCAUGGGGCUCCCUGCUCAGCAGGAGUCUGCUUCUCCCUCUCUCUCUGCUCCUCUCCCACUCAUGCUCUCCCUCUCAAAGGAAUAUAUAAAAUCUUAAAAAAAAAAAAAAAUUUGAGCAGGUCUAUUUGGCCUAUACCACCUUCUCAGAAAGCCAUGAAGAAUUCUCUUUUGGUGGGAACUUGAAGCAUUUGCUGAAGAGGUAGGCAUGGUCACCCAGGUUUGACCUUCACGGUCCUGACUGCCCCUUCCAGCCAUAGCUAACUCGAUAAGAGGGGCUGACACAAGAUCUAGUCAGCCCCAAGCAGGGGAGUUCACCCAUCAGACUCUCCUGAAAAUUGAAGCAAGCACACCGAGACCAGAGUCAAGUAACAGCAGGUAUUUCACCCCAAAGGCAGCCAGAGUCGGGGCUUAUUCCCAUCUUCUUACCUUGAUAUUCUCCAACCUCCCUGCUUCAGUUUCCUCUUUCUUAAAAAAGGAGUAAGAAUAUUCCCUGCAUAACACCAACCUUUUUGAUUAUUCCCUCCACAUGCUCUCAGACUUAAGUAUUCUCUUUGCACUAUAUCAGUAAAUAUUUAUAAGUAGAUAUUUAUCUGGAAGUGAUCAGAAUGUGUUGUAUUCAUUUGUAUUUAAGUACAUCAGGGGCAGGGCUCAGGCCUUUUUUCCCCGAGAGCCCAACGUGUGGCAGGAAGACAACACUCUGACCUAGAACUUCUGAGAGAUUAAUAGCAUUUUUUAGAAGAUUUAUUUAUUUGAGAGAGAGAGAGUGAGAGAGCACGUGAGCGAGCCAUGAGUGAAAAGGGCAGAGGGAGAGGGAGAAAGAAUCUCAAGCAGAUGCCAUGGUCAGCAUGGAGCCCUAUGUGGGACUUGAUCUCAUAAUCCUGAGAUCACUACCUGAGCUGAAACCAAGAGUAGGACACUUAACUAACUGUGCCACCUGGGCAUCCCUAAUAGCAUUUUGAAAGAACCUGUGAGGGAGAGACAGCUUGGACCACCCAGCGUGUAAAGAUGAUUGUGACAAAGAGCUUUUUGGCUUGAUUAGGUUGAUACCUCUUUGACUAAGUUGUAGGGAGAAAAUGUCAGAGACCAAUAGCUGAGCCUCGGGUUCCUGUCAGAAGUUUCUUAAGAGGUUACUGGGGGAAAAGCCACUGGACAAUAAGGACUAAAGGGCACCAGCUAACAGAACUUUAACUUAUAAAGAAAUGUAUUUGGGGGGCGCCUGGAUGGCUCAGUCGGUUAAGCAUCUGCCUUUGGCUCAGGUCAUGAUCCUGGGUCCUGGGAUCUAACCCCGAGUUGGGUUUCCUAUUCAGUGGAGAGUAGGCUUCUCCCUCUCCCUCUGCCACUCCCCCUCCCCCACUCGUGCUCUCACUCUCUCUCUCUCUCACUCUCACUCUAUCUCAAAUAAAUAAAUAAAAUCUUUUUAAAAAUGUAUUUUUGAGUAACUGGCUUUUUAAAGAUUGAAUAUAAAUAUUGAAUUAUAGAUGAUAUUAGAUAACAACUUUACUAUGAUUGGUCCCCCUAAAUAUUUCAUCUAUUUUUUAUAUUGUGUGUUAUUGGUUUACAAUAUAAUGGCAUAUUACGCUAUUGGCUUGUAAUACAGUAGUCUCCCCUUAUCUGUGGCUCUGUCUUCUGUGGUCUUGAUUACCUGUGGUCAACUGUAGUGUAGAAGCAGAUGAUCCCCCUAGCAUAUUAUCAGAAGGUCAAUAACAGCCUACCUACCCCUAUGUCACAAUGUCUAUGACAUUCCCCUCACUUCAUGUCAUCAUAUAGGCAUUUUGUCAUCUCAUAUCCACAGAAUAUUGUUAUAAUUGUUUUAUUUUUUUAUUCUUGCUAAUCUCUUACCAUGCCCCAUUUCUAUAUUAAACUUUAGCAUAGGUAUGUAUGUAUAGGAAAAAAACAGCAUAUAUAUGGUUUGAUACCAUCUGUGAUUUCAGGGAUUCACUGGGGCUGUUGGAAUGUAUCCCCUAUGAUAAGUGGGGAGACUACUGUAUAACGAAUACAUGAAAUAUUUAGGGGAACCAAUUAUUUAUUUAUAAAUAAAUUGCUUAACUUACGUGGAUAAACUGAAGCGACAUUAUUAUCCAGUAUGUGUCCUCUGAACCAUAGUUCUCUAGGCUGUUAAUAGGCAUGUGCAUAAAGGGUUUUAUUGUCAAAUAAGUUCAGGUUAAUAAAAAAGUUUAGAAGUUAUUUCACUCUGGGACUUCUUAGAGUCUUCAGUAGGCCAAUGUGCUUUGUGAAUAUGCAUGAAAGAGAAGUGGCUUACCUCCAGCUUUUCUCAUAUAUAUUCCAGAAACCCUGGACUAGGGUAAUCUCACAUUGAGAAACCCUAGGUUGAGGUAAUCUCUCUCCUGACAUUAUCUAUAAUAAAUCACAGUUGAACAUAUCAAAAUUUACCUCCAAGUCAAUAUUUAAAAUGAUGCCAAGAGUCACUACUAUAGCGUCUCUUCAGCAAAUGCCGUUCCAGGCCUGCUAUUCAUUAGGUGGAUUAUAAAAGAACAAAAAAGUCUUCCUAUUUGGACUUAAGGUACUGUGCAUCUAACUACAACAGUAAUUUAUAUGUCCCCCAAAGGCAGUUUUUAAGACUCCUGAUGUCAUUACAGGGAUAUUUUCCAAAUGCAAGUCUGUCAUUACUGCUUAGUCAGAUGCAGAACUAGAGCAUGCCUCCCAGAGGGGCCGUUCUCCCCAGAUUUAGCAGGAAACUCUCUGGCCACAAUGGCAUUAAGUUUUCUGCACCCAGAUGUUAUCACUGUUCAUGUACCCAGGAUUUAAAGUGUAGAUGUGGAGAACCUCAAGUUCUUUCUCGAAUCAUUCCAAGGCAUCAUUAGAAGAGGGGUCGGGGCCCCUCGGUGGCUCCGUCGGUGAAACAUCCAACUCCUGAUUUCCGCUCAGGUCAUGAUCUCAUGGGUCAUGAGACUGAGCCCCAUGUCAGCCUCCAUGCUCAGCACAGAGUUGGCUUAGCAUUCUCUCUCUCUCCCUCUGCUUCUGCCCUUCCCUCUGCUGGUGCUAUCUAAAUUAAUUAAUUAAAAAAAAGAAGGGUCAUGUAUGGGCUUAGGAAUAAAGCCAGGCAAUGAAGCAACAGCUCAGAAGCAAAGGUACAUGGUCAUUUCAUUCUUAUUUCCUGGCAAAUCAGGUCAACAGGUAGCAUGAAUCAACCAUGGUUCAGACGCAAAACAAGUUAGAACUUUCUUCAAUUUCUGGUUGGCAGAAACAGCAAAGUCAAAAUUAGUGGGGUUGGGGCUGGAGGACUGACCAGGAAGGACUCCUGGAGCCCCUCACAGUAGCCACAGGGCAGGCCCCUGGGAGCCCCAGACAAUCUAGUAAGAGCAAGGAUCAUCUCAGAUUCAUGUGGGGUGAAGCAAAUCGCAAAUUGGUGAUGGGAAGUGUGUGUGGUAGAGCCCAAUUCUUGGAGAAAUGUCCAGAAGGUAAACAGAAAUGUCCAGACAGGGACCCCAGCAUGGUGCUGAGCUGUAGCCCGAUCAGGAAGCACUUGUAUGGAAGUGGAAUCUCUCUGCCAGGAUGUAUAAGAAACUGCUAAUAGUGAUUGUUUCUGGGAAAGAAAACUGGGAGAGUGGACUGGGAGAGAGACUUCUCUUUCUCCAGAUACAUUUUUGUUCUGUUUACGUGUUUUGUUAGUGCCUCUAUGACUCUUUUUAAGCAAUGAAUAAUUACAUUUUUAAAGUACCGACUGAGGAGAUUGAGUUUGGAUCACCAGUCACUGGGGAAGAGCCGGCGAGUCCUGAGGAUGAUGGAAGUGAUAAAAGACGCCAUAGGAUUGAUCAGAAGGGACGAUGAGGCACAGGGCAUGUGGGAGAAUGGGCGAAUGAGAAGUGCUGGGAAGGAAGAGGGGACAGAGCGUCAGUGUCCACAGAGGUCUGCCCAGCCGCUUCGGAGCCACCGUCAACACUGGGUACUGGUGGUCGGUGGCGGGAAGCACUGUCUCUACCCCACAGUUAUAUCAAAUGCCAGAGACAAGGAGAAGGGGAACAUGGAAAGCUGUCUUCAAGAAAGCACCUCCAGGGCAGCUUAGAAAUGUCCAGACUACAGAGGUACAGCAAGUUCUUCUUCUUCUGAACCCCUGAUAUUUCCUUUGGGCACAGGGGGAAGCAUGUGACAUUGGAACUGUCUUCCAACACCCUUCCACAGCCACACACCAGAUUUGAUCCCUGCCCGGCCUCUCCUAACAGCCUCCCACAGCCCAGGUCUGCCUAUGGGGAAAGAUGCACAGAGAUGCAGACUCAGAAACAGAAGGCCAUCCCACAGCGGCAUUCUUCCCACGGCCCUGCCCUGGCUUCGGGUCCAGCUCUCAUCCACCCUCCCCGUUUGCCUGGGACUGCACUGUAUCCUCUCCUUCAUGCUCUCCUGGCCUUCGCUCAGGCCAUCGUCGGGGUAUUUUGUUCUCCCAGUUUCAAAGCUGGUAUGGACACACGCUCCUGAGGAGGACGACUGCCUUCCAGGAGAGUAGGGAAAAACCCUAUUACAUUCUGACCCAUUGUUUGUUUAUCUGAAUUGUUUUGUUUUGUUUUUCUCAACUGCCAGCAUUGUCUGUCCUUUUCUUAUAUGCCGGUUUAAUAGGCUUCUGUUGAAAAGGAUUUUGUUCUAAUAUGAUCCCAAACAAUGGAAUAGAGAGUCAACAAACGCAUUGUGUACGAUCUAUUCACAGUUCUCUUUGGAAGAACCCAUGCCAGUUUGGUGUGUGUGUGUUCAUGUGACUUAGCAAAGGAGACCAAAGCCAAGAGCUCCUAAGGCAGGUUUUUCAGUUACCUGACUUAUGUUAAUGGUAAAUGGCAGCCCAAGGUGGGGGGCAUCUCACUACAGCCACAGGACUGACCAGCCUUAGGCUACUUAACCCAUUAGGGUGCUAAGCUUUGCUCCACUGUCACCAAGUUUAAAAUAUAUUUAAAUAUCUGAUAGUCACUCUCAAUUACUCUUCCUUUUCUAAAUUUUCUUUGAUAUCUUUAUCUACUGAUUCUAUCAAAUACACUUGAAAAUAAUUUUGCUCCCUCUCUCUCCGGGGUAUUUGCUGAUUGUAAAGGGGAAAAACUCCCCACACCUUUAAAAUAGAAAGAUUUGGUGGUCACCAUUUAUCCAUCCGCUAAAUUAUACGCUAGCCUGAAUUGUAUGCCUCCACACGUGAUGCAAUUUGGAACACAUCACAUGACCUAGGGAAGUGCUCUUGUUAAAAAUGUUUAUUCUGGGGAUGCUUGGGUGGCUCAGUCUGUUAAGGGGACGACUCUUGAUUUAGGCUAGAGAGAGAGACUAGAGAGCUAUAAUAACCAAAUGUAACUGGUGACCGGCCAUUUGAUUCUGAUUUGAAGGGAAUAAAGCAGCAAUAAGUGACAUAUUCUCAGGACAAUGAAGAAAUUUAAAAAUGAAACAGACACUAGGAAAUCAUCGUUAAUUUUCUCAGUCAUGCUCACGUUAUUGUGACUAUAUUGGAAAAUAUAUUUUGAGGACAUGGAUAUCAAAGUAUUUAGGGUGAAGCGUGAUGACAUCUGCAAGUUGGUUUCAUAUGAUUCAGCAACAAUAAAAAACA